rnacentral:tRNA from 1 species
GGAAGGGUGCCAGAGCGGACGAAUGGAACGGUCUCGAACACCGUCGUGGGUUUAGGCCUACCGUGGGUUCAAAUCCCACCCCUUCCG